CGGCGACGGCGCCGCCGCUUGCGGCGGCGAUUCGCCUCGGUUUGGCCGUUUUCGGCCGAAUUCGGCCACACUUGCAUCGGUCCUUGCGAUAAAACAACCCUAGGGCCCUCGGGGGGGCAAAAAAUUACGAAAAACCGAAGCUUACCGGCGGCGGUGCUCUCGGGUGCGGCAGCUCUCCGGUGAGGUUCGUGUUUUGGUGAUUCGGCUCCGAUCAACCUGUAGAGAAAAGAAUGGUGAUCACAGUGAUAUAAAAAU
rnacentral:lncRNA from 1 species